GACGAACGCUGGCGGCGUGCCUAAUACAUGCAAGUCGAACGCAGUGGGGACGGGUGAGUAACACGUGCGUAACCUCCCAUCAGAGUGGCUAACACUUGGAAACAGGUGCUAAACCGAUACUGAUUGAUGGACCCGGGGUGAAUUAGCUAGUGGGGGGGGUAACGGCUCACCAAGGCCACGAUGCAUAGCGGGUUUGAGAGGAUGACCGGCCACACUGGGACUGAGACACGGCCCAGACUCCUACGGGAGGCAGCAGUGGGGAAUUUUCGGCAAUGGGCGAAAGCCUGAUCCAGCCAUCCCGCGUGAGUGAAGAAGGCCUUCGGAUCGUAAAACUCUGUUGGCAGAGAAGCGGUAUCUGAAGAAAAAGCAACGGCUAACUACGUGCCAGCAGCCGCGGUAAUUC
rnacentral:rRNA from 1 species